CCCGGAUGGCCUGGUGGUCAAGGUGGUCGAUUCACAAUCGUUCACCCCGGGUUCGAGUCCCAGUUGGGA
rnacentral:tRNA from 1 species